rnacentral:rRNA from 1 species
CCUACGGGUGGCAGCAGUGAGGAAUAUUGGUCAAUGGGCGAGAGCCUGAACCAGCCAAGUCGCGUGAAGGAUGACGGCCCUACGGGUUGUAAACUUCUUUUGUCAGGGAGCAAUUUGGUCCACGCGUGGGCUUAUCUAUAGUACCUGAAAAAAAAGCAUCGGCUAACUCCGUGCCAGCAGCCGCGGUAAUACGGGGGGUGCUGGCGUGAUCCGGAUUUAUUGGGGUUAAAGGGUGCGUAGGGGGACGAUAAAGUCAGCGGUAAUAAUUCGGGGCUCAACCCCGUCGUGCCGUGGAAACUGAUGUUCUUGAGUGGUCGAGAAGUAUGCGGAAUUCGUGGUGUAGCGGUGAAAUGCAUAGAUAUCACGCAGAACGCCGAUUGCGAAGGCAGCAUACUGGCGGCCAACUGACGCUGAAGCACGAAAGCGUGGGGAGCGAACAGGAUUAGAUACCCGAGUAGUC